rnacentral:rRNA from 1 species
GGCGGACGGGUGAGUAACGCGUGGGUAACCUGCCUUACACUGGGGGAUAACAGUUAGAAAUAGCUGCUAAUACCGCAAAAGCGCACAGGGCCGCAUGGCCUGGUGUGAAAAACUCCGGUGGUGUAAGAUGGACCCGCGUCUGAUUAGCUAGUUGGUGAGGUAACGGCCCACCAAGGCGACGAUCAGUAGCCGGCCUGAGAGGGUGAACGGCCACAUUGGGACUGAGACACGGCCCAAACUCCUACGGGAGGCAGCAGUGGGGAAUAUUGCACAAUGGGGGAAACCCUGAUGCAGCGACGCCGCGUGAGUGAAGAAGUAUUUCGGUAUGUAAAAGCUCUAUCAGCAAGGAAGAAAAUGACGGUACUUGACUAAGAAGCCCCGGCUAACUACGUGCCAGCAGCCGCGGUAAUACGUAGGGGGCAAGCGUUAUCCGGAUUUACUGGGUGUAAAGGGAGCGUAGACGGUUUGGUGAGUCAGAUGUGAAAGCCCAGGGCUCAACCCUGGG